rnacentral:rRNA from 1 species
CAGCAGCCACGGUAAUACGUAGGUGGCAAGCGUUGUCCGGGAUUAUUGGGCGUAAAGGGCUCGCAGGCGGUUUCUUAAGUCUGAUGUGAAAGCCCCCGGCUCAACCGGGGAGGGUCAUUGGAAACUGGGAAACUUGAGUGCAGAAGAGGAGAGUGGAAUUCCACGUGUAGCGGUGAAAUGCGUAGAGAUGUGGAGGAACACCAGUGGCGAAGGCGACUCUCUGGUCUGUAACUGACGCUGAGGAGCGAAAGCGUGGGGAGCGAACGGGAUUAGAUACCCCGGUAGUCCCUGUCUCUUAUAC